rnacentral:rRNA from 2 species
UACAGAGGUCUCAAGCGUUGUUCGGAUUCAUUGGGCGUAAAGGGUGUGUAGGUGGCGCCGUAAGUCGGGUGUGAAAUUUCGGAGCUUAACUCCGAAACUGCAUUCGAUACUGCGGUGCUUGAGGACUGGAGAGGAGACUGGAAUUCAUGGUGUAGCAGUGAAAUGCGUAGAGAUCAUGAGGAAGACCAGUGGCGAAGGCGGGUCUCUGGACAGUUCCUGACACUGAGACACGAAGGCCAGGGGAGCAAACGGG